rfam:Elusimicrobia bacterium GWA2_66_18 gwa2_scaffold_3466, whole genome shotgun sequence.
GGGCAGUUAGCUCAGCGGUAGAGCAUUGUCCUCACACGACAAGGGUCACAGGUUCAAAUCCUGUACUGCCCA